GAACUGAAGAGUUUGAUCCUGGCUCAGAUUGAACGCUGGCGGCAUGCUUUACACAUGCAAGUCGAACGGCAGCGCGGGGCAACCUGGCGGCGAGUGGCGAACGGGUGAGUAAUAUAUCGGAACGUACCCAGAAGUGGGGGAUAACGUAGCGAAAGUUACGCUAAUACCGCAUACGAUCUACGGAUGAAAGUGGGGGACCUUCGGGCCUCAUGCUUGUGGAGCGGCCGAUAUCUGAUUAGCUAGUUGGUGAGGUAAAGGCUCACCAAGGCGACGAUCAGUAGCUGGUCUGAGAGGACGACCAGCCACACUGGGACUGAGACACGGCCCAGACUCCUACGGGAGGCAGCAGUGGGGAAUUUUGGACAAUGGGCGCAAGCCUGAUCCAGCAAUGCCGCGUGAGUGAAGAAGGCCUUCGGGUUGUAAAGCUCUUUUGUCAGGGAAGAAACGG
rnacentral:rRNA from 1 species